AAUAGAUACCCUGGUAGUCCUAGCCGUAAACGAUGAACACUAGGCGUAGUCGGUAUCGACCCCGGCUGUGCCGUAGCUAACGCAUUAAGUGUUCCGCCUGGGGAGUACGGCCGCAAGGCUAAAACUCAAAGGAAUUGACGGGGGCCCGCACAAGCAGCGGAGCGUGUGGUUUAAUUCGUCGCAACGCGAAGAACCUUACCAGGGCUUGACAUGUGGCGGAAAACGGCGGAAACGUCGUCCUCCCGCAAGGGACCGUCAUGCAGGUGUUGCAUGACUGUCGUCAGCUCGUGUCGUGAGAUGUUGGGUUAAGUCCCGCAACGAGCGCAACCCCCGUGGCAUGUUGUAUCUCUCAUGCCAGACUGCCGAGAGAAACUCGGAGGAAGGUGGGGAUGACGCCAAGUCAGCAUGGCCCUUACGUCCUGGGCUACACACACGCUACAAUGGCCGGUACAACGGGUUGCCAAACCGCGAGGUGGAGCUAAUCCCUUAAAGCCGGUCUCAGUUCGGAUUGCAGGCUGCAACUCGCCUGCA
rnacentral:rRNA from 1 species